ensembl:lncRNA
GUCGGCCUGCUCUCUCGGAGCCCCCGCUGCGUCCGGCCGCACCUGGAGCGGUUUCGCGGUGCGGAUCUGGACGGGAUUGAGAUUACGGAGGGAAGAGAGAAGAGGUCUCUGUUUGCCAGAGCAGGAAGAUGAUUACCUCGGAUUCUAAGUCCUUCCAUCCUGACCCUACCCCUCUAGGCUGUUCCCAGAGAGGAACGAACUCGGGUCGCGAUGCUUUGGGCGGGGUGAAGUCGAGGGAGACCUGCAAAGGGCUGGGUGGGGUGGUGCACGCCUAUAAUCCUAGUACCCGGGAGGCUGAGGCAGCAGAUUGUGAAAUUGGAGGUCAGUCUGGGCUCCCUAGAGAUGCCCAGGGCAAGAAUUUGCAGUGGUUCCGCGACGAGGAGGGGAGCGAGGCUCAAGUGUAUACCAGUAUUUGCCAGAAGUGCUGCAUGAAUGCAGGGACGGCCCAUGAUUUUACCAGGCCUACCUCCCGAAUUCUUCCCUCUCUUCCUCCCUCUCUGCCUGCCUGCCUUCUGCUUCCUUCUACACACUCCUCUGUUGCCGACUGGGCCUCUUACCACCUUAAAAUGUACUUUUAUGCCAGGAGUCAAACUAGUGUUUCUCUAGUUUCGGCAAGCCCAGUUUAUUGGCCACUGGCAGAUCAAUCUUCAAAAGGCACAAGCCAUGUCACUCCUCCGCUUGUAAAACAUGCCCAUUGGCCUCUCAUUACCUUUUUAGAACUUAUGUCUCAGUCCUUAGGAUUGUCAUCUCUGUAAGAUGAGAAGCACUGUAGAAGGCUGUGAAAAUAAAAUGAGGUCAUGUAUUUAGAAAAACUCAAGAACUUGAUGAACUAUGAAGUAAGCAUGUAUGGGAAGAAAUAAAGCAAGUGCCUGUUAAAGUUCUAUGCGGAGGGCUUACAUUAUUUCCUACAAUUACAAGGCGAUGCUGUAAAUAAUGUGAUAUGUUACCAGUUUGUUAUGGUGAUGUGAUGGUGCCAGGGCUAGAACUCAGGACUUCACAUGCUCUUGGCUAGUGCUUUAUCACUGACUUACAUCCUCAGCCUGUAAAAGAAGUUUUAAUCUUGACUUUACAAAUGAGGAAAGUAAGCUCUAAAAGUUUGAAUAAUUGUCUAGCUCCAAGACAGUAAUAAUUAUUUUGCAGGCGGGCAGUGGUACCACACACCUUUAAUCCUAGUACUCAGGAGGCAGAGGCAGGCAGAUCUGUGGGAGUUCCAAGACAGCCAAGACUACAAGAGAAACCCUGUCUCAAAAAAACAAAACAAGAAAUUUCCAUUCAUUCAGAGGACCUAGAUUCACUUCCCAGCAUCCACAGGGUGGCUCACAGCCAUCUGUAAUAUGCAGAUCCAGGGGAUCUGAUGCCUUUUGACUUAUGUGGACAUGAAACAUACAUGUGGGGCUGGAGAGAUGGCUCAGGGGUUAAGAACACUGACUGUUCUUCCAGAGGACCUGCGUUCAAUUCCCAGCACCCACAUGAUAGCUCACAACUGUCUGUAACUCCAGUUGCAAGGUAUCUGACAUCUUCAUACCCAUGCACCCAUGCAAAAUAAAGUUAAAUUUAAAAAAAUAGAAUAUAAUUUUAAGAUGUGUUAUAUUUGUUUAUGCUGUGGAACAUUUGUUUAAUGAUGAAAAGAUGUGUUGCAUUUGUUUAACUCUGUGAACCUGUUUUACAUUGCCUGUCUAAAACACCUGAUUGAUCUAAUAAAGAGCUGAACGGCAAAGAGCCAGGCAGGAGAGGGAGAGGAGGGGCUGUCAAGCAGAGAGAAUAAAAAGGAGAAAUCUGAGAGAAGAUCAGGGAGUUAGAAAAGGAGGAAAGGACAUCAGAGUCCAGCCUACCCAGCGACACAACCAGCAACAGAGUAAGAAGGAAAGAGACUAUAUAGAAUAGAGAAAGAUAAAAGCUCAGAGGCAAAAAGAUGGGAUAAUUUAUGAAGAGCUAGCUAGAAACAAGCCAAGCUAAGACUGGGCAUUUAUAAGAAUAAGACUAUUUAUUUGGGAACUGGGUGGCAGGCCCCCCAAAAGAGUAAAAAAAAAAAAAAAACUACACUGAUCUGAUUUACAUUUUUAAAAAUGUUUCUCUUUAAUAUCAAAGAUACAUAGAUCUAUAUUCUAAGCUUCUGAGAAAGCAAAGGACUAUUGUUAUCAACUUGGGCUAUUUUUUUCCAAAGAUAAUCAAUUUAUUUUUUUAAUUAUUUUUGUGUAGCCCGGGCCCACAGAGGCCAGAGUAUCUGAUCCUCCUGGAGCUGAAGUUACAGAUGGUUAGGAGCCUCCUGAGAAUCAAACUCAGGUCCUCUGAAGAGUGUAUGUGCUCUUAACUACUGAGUCAUGUCUCCAGCCCCUUCGACUUGUACAAAUAUGUAAUUGUCAAAUGGUCCUACAUAUUAAUGUAGGACUGACUUUUUUUUUCUUUCUUGGUUUUGGUUUUGAUUUUUUUUCAAGACAGGUUGCUCUGUGUAGCCCUAGCUAUCCUG